AUAAGUAAAGAUUUUAAGGGCGUACGGUGGAUGCCUUGGCGAUAUCAGCCGAAGAAGGACGCGGUAAGCUGCGAUAAGCUACGGAGAGGUGCAAGCAACCUGUGACCCGUAGAUUUCCGAAUGGGGGAACCCGGCAGUGGUUAUGCACUGUCACCCAUAGCUUAGACUAUGAGGAGGGC
rnacentral:rRNA from 1 species